CCUACGGGUGGCAGCAGUGAGGAAUAUUGGUCAAUGGGCGUAAGCCUGAACCAGCCAAGUCGCGUGAGGGAUGAAGGUUCUAUGGAUCGUAAACCUCUUUUAUAAGGGAAUAAAGUGUGGGACGUGUCUUAUUUUGUAUGUACCUUAUGAAUAAGGAUCGGCUAACACCGUGCCAGCAGCCGCGGUAAUACGGAGGUUCCGAGCGUUAUCCGGAUUUAUGGGGUUUAAAGGGUGCGUAGGCGGCCUUUUAAGUCAGCGGUGAAAGUCUGUGGCUCAACCAUAGAAGUGCCGUUGAAACUGGGGGGCUUGGGUAUGUUUGGGGCAGGCGGAAUGCGUGGUGUAGCGGUGAAAUGCUUAGAUAUCACGCAGAACCCCGAUUGGGAAGGCAGCCUGACAGGCCAUGACUGACGCUGAUGCACGAAAGCGUGGGGAUCAAACAGGAUUAGAUACCCGGGUAGUG
rnacentral:rRNA from 1 species